rnacentral:lncRNA from 1 species
CAACCGAAAACUGAAAGCGGAAGCCUCAAUGUAAUAGGGAAACUCAAAACGGAAGCCGCAUAGCACAUUCAGCGUCUGAAAAUCGUUCGAAAACUGGAGCAGUUACUUCCUGGUUUUCAGCGUUCGGGAGCCGAAACAUUCCAAAAUGGAGGCAUUGGGAACUGAUAUUUGACUGUACUUUGGCUGAUGAUACUCCAUUUCAUUACUCCUCUCCCUCCUAAUGUUCCACGAGGAGGGCGCAAACUUGGCUCCCCCCAAACCUACUGAUUUGAGGAGCAGCACUCACUUCUGAACAUCAGAAAUAGAAACAGUUAUUUCUUUAUCAGGAUGGAAGUUUACCAGUCUUGGCAGGUGAGUCUUUUUACUUGAGUUGUACAGAACUUUUUCUUCAGGCAGCAUGUAUUUUAAAAAAUGUUUCUGGAAGAUGUCACAGCACUUAACCAAGUCUGCAGUCUGUCUCAGUCUGAAAAUGACAGAAGAAAAACUUCUUGCAGCAGAUUAAUUCUGAACUGUGCUUUUUAAAUGCAUUCUAGGCCUUCUUGAACAGAUUUUUGUCUGGGCAGCUCUCCAAAACUAUUUACAUAAAAUACCAGUAAAUAACAUAAUAAUAAAUCGACCCUUGGCAACAACAAGAAAGAGGGGAGGGGAAAUGUAAUAGUUUCUUUUUAAAAAUGAAAGAUCAGUACAAUAUUCACUUGUACCAAAGGACUCCAAUUAUUUUUGAAGCAAUCUUUCAUCAGAGAAGCAUCACGCCCAUGCCAAAGCAAGUGCAUUAAUUUUAACCAGGCUUAUUAUCAGGUUAAGCAUGGCCUCAGAAUCCCAGUUUGGAAAUAAAAAACCUUGCAGUUAUUCAAAUCCGGGUGCUUCCAGGCACGUGUUUAUUGUGGGAUUGGUACUCAUCCUACAUACAAACGUUUUGCAGCAUCCGCAUGAAUCUUCAGAAAGGAGCAGAAGGCUACUAACUAGAACAUUCUUUUAAAAAAGGUUUUGUUUCUCUUCCAAAGUAGGAGUUUAGUUGAAAUAUAGGAAAAUCAACUUUACAUAACUUGUUAAAAACUAAUGGACGACAUAUUUUCCUUUUUAACUAUUGUGAAGUAUUAUAUCUACAUUUAAAAUAGUAUUCCCCCCUGCAAGCUAUGCCCCACAUUUCUACCCCAAAGUAGCACUCACCAAGUGAGAACAUUAACAACUUUGAACUGACAUAGCAUUAUGGGCAUGAGAAUGGAAGGGAGUGUAACACAAAGCAUCAUCAGCAGGUGAUCUGCCUUUGAAUGUGAUCUGAUUCACCCUCUCAUUUUUGUUUAAAAGUCAUAAAAAGGUAAAGGACCCCUGACAGUUAAGUCCAGUCACGAACGACUCUGGGGUUGUGGCACUCAUCUCACUUUACUGGCCUUGGGAGCCAGCAUUUGUCCGCAAACAGUUUUUCCAGGUCACGUGUCCAGCAUGACUAAGACGCUUCUGGUGAAACCAGAGCAGUGCACGGAAAUGCCAUUUAUCUUCCCGCCAGAGCGGUACCUAUUUAUCUACUUGCACUUUAAUGUGCUUUCAAACUGCUAGGUUGGCAGGAGCAGGGACCGAACAACGGGAGCUCACCCCGUUGCCGGGACUCGAACCACUGACCUUCCGAUCGGCAAGCCCUAAGCUCAGUGGUUUAGACCACAGUGCCACUGCAUAAUCCCAUUUGGGGGAGAGAGCAUAAUACCUUCUUCUCAUGCACUUGUUGAAACUUCUAUCAAACAUAUGGUGUAUAUAUAUAUAUUAUUUAUACACUUCUCCUUGCAUUUGAAACCUUGGCCUUAUUUGAAAAUCUCCAGACAAUAUAGACUUGUUAAAUGGGAUGGAUCUAAAAUGUUUCCAGCUCACAGAAAUUAACAGGUUGUCCCCCCGCCACCCUACCGUCAAGUGUCAUUAUUAUAAAUGUCUUCAAAAAAUAUGCGUGCAUGUCUGAAAAUAAUUUACAUGCCAAAGCAUUUGGUAUGAAAAAUGUCCAGGCUCCAAAUGAACUCAGGUUCCUAGAGAUUAAUCACAUAGCAAAUAGGAAAACCGUCAAGAAGGAGCAGCCAUGUCAGGCUGAUGGAGCAAAAACAUGAAAGAGCCUUGCAGCAUCACCACGACUAAAAAAAUUAUUGUGGCCUCAGCUUUGGUGAGCCAGCAUCCAUAUCAUCAGAUGCAUGAAGUGGUCAUCUAAGUGGGAAAAGAUAUGUUUCCUGAAUACAGAGAUAAGAUGUUUUCAAUUUAUUUAUUUAUUUGUUUAUUUAUUUCAAAAUAAGGCUGAAAACUCAAACAUCAUAAAAACCCAGGUAUGUUUGUGUCAUAAAUGAAUAUAUUUUUAAAUUACUACAAUUGUUAUCAUUAUCAUUUUUACAGCAGAUCUCCAAGGCUGUCAGAGCAACACAACAAAAACAUCCAAGCAUAUCUAGAAGUCUCCGUUGCUCUCGAGAAGGCAAGGA